UCUUGGAGAAACAUUAAAUCUUGCUAGCAAGUCAACUUCGAAUUGUAUAUCAUGCAUGAUAAAAAUAGUGCUUCAAUAGCACACAAGUAAGGAACUUCGGGUCCUAAGUAAUUUCGUUAUUUUCUUUUGGUCUAGGUGAAUGAAUGUGAUAUAAUCAUAUUCAUCAAAGCCUUCUUCGGGUAGGUCGAUUAAUUCAUAUAAAAUACAGAUCGAUUAGUUUGAAAUACUUUAUCGAAAAGAUGCUCGAUCUACAAGUCGAGACAAUACUUAGUUUUAACUAAGUUUUUCAAAACUCAUCUUUAGACAUGAGUUAACUUCCUCAUGUUUUGAGUAUUCAUAUAUGUUCUUUCUUCGGGAAGAACUUCCUUAGUUGGUUAUGGACUUUCACAUAUAUAUUUAUGUUUAAUGGCCUAUAUAAUAAUACAACCAUAACGUCCAUAAAUUUGGUAUUUAUAUCAAUGAGUACUGCCAUAAAAUGUUAUAUAAAUAACGAAACAUAAUGCCAUUCAUAACAUGAGAAUAUAUUUGGGAAUCUCAAUCCCUUGAACUACUAACCUCGUUAAUUAUUUUCAUUUAGUGAGUUCGGCUCUGCCUCAUUGCUUACUUCUAUAUUUUUAAGUGCUUCUGGCACACUAAUAUAAUUUGUUUUGGAUCCAAAUAAUCUUCAAGUUGAACUAACA
rnacentral:lncRNA from 1 species